rfam:Porphyromonas sp. CAG:1061 genomic scaffold, scf305
AUAGUCGUGGAGAGAUUUGUGCUUGCUUGCAACCACGGUAAAAAAUGCUAAAUGAGUGACC